CGUCGUCAACGAGGACAGGGUUUUCGCAGAGAGUGAGGUAAAGCUUCUUCUUGGAGGAGGAGAAGGUGGAGGAGGAGGAGGAGUGAGAUAGGAUCAGUGGCGGAUCUACAGAGGGACCUGGGAGGUCCCAGAACCCUUCGGCGACCCUAAAUCGCUGCUAGAAAAUUUUCGGGGACCCCUCGUACUCGAACACAAGGUCUGUGCAAUGUGUUUUGUAAUUUCUGGGUUGGUAGGUUCUGUUCUUGCGAGAGGAAGAAGAUGAUUAAAUGAGUUUCUCUCUCAUCCUUUCAUUCCCACGUGACCACCCUCAAACUUUCCCAUUUUAUUGAUUUUUUAAUUGGUCCAAUCACAUUCCGAUAGCUAGCAUCAACUUGAUCUUUCCAAAAUAUGAAAAUGGGUUGUCGGUCCCUAGGUGUAUAUUUUUGUUAAUUGGUGUGGCUCCCCUCCUUACGCGUCUAGUGCUUCAUUUUGCUUUCUACACCCACAUAUUUAACACACUUAUAUUUAUCUUAAAAUUCAAUAUAAAUCAAUAUGAUCUUUAAAAAUAUUAUGUAAAUUACUAUGAACUUGUAAUUAUUUGAACUUUUAUCUUAUACCUUAAAUUCACCAAAAUACUAGGUAUAUAAUAAAUUUAUUUAAAUUCACUUAGACCGCGCACGGAGAAGAAAGAAAAUAGGACCCUUUUUAACAAUUGGUAUAUUUUUUCUAUUUUUUUUUUGUUAAAUGUGUAGUUUAGAAAUAAAAAAAUGUGGAGAGAUUUUUCAAGUCAAAGCUGAUAGCACCAUCUAUUUGGUCAUUGAGAAAGAUGGUUGAGUGAUGUUUUUUCAUGUAUUGGUAAUGAAGCUAUCAUAGAAUAUUUUCAGACUAUGAAACCCCGUCGUGGACGCUCAAAUUAGGAUUUUAUAGCUUGUAAUGUUGUUUUGCGUAUGAUUUUUGAAUGAAAUGUAUUAUAUUUAACUUUUCAAUGUUAAUUUUGUCUAUAAAUGUUUUUACCUUUAUUAAUGGGACCCCCCAAACUUAAAAUCCUGGAUCCGCCACUGCCCGUGGGUAUCCCUCUUCAUGGCCCUUCCUUGCUUUGUUCAGCCAUGGUUUCUGUUGAGUUCGUGUGUAGAGUUCUGGUGUUAUAUCUGGCUCAGGUGUCUCCCACACCACCACGAUCUCCUUGUUGUCUGCCGUUCUCGGCGGUGUUGUUCGGGAUUUUCCCGGAGCUUCUUUCUGAUGGUUGGCUUCUCUCUCGCCGACUAUCUCUUGUUAAUGGUUAUGUGCAGGUGGCGCCUGUGGAGGUGAUGAUCAGCGGUGGAUGGAGGAUUGGAUGGCUGGCUGAUUCUCGGGUCGAUGGUGGAGAGCACAGUGGAUGGUUCUCGGUUGUUUGUUUGGGCUUCACUGUUGUUGGGCUCAUUUUCUUUGUUUUCUUUGUUUUUAGGCCCGUUCUUUAUUUGUUUGUAGGAAUAAUUGGACCUUUGUGUGGUUUGUAAGUGUGUGUUUGUUUUAAUAAAAGUUCCUCGCAACUUAAAAAAAAAAAAAAAAAACAGAAUCUUAAUUAGAAUAUGGAUGAAAAUUAUUAACAGACCUGGAUUCAGGCAGACGAAUCCAUUCCCAAUAUUGAGGAGUAUCGCCCCAAGUAAUCUUAAGCUUCCUUGCAGAUAUCAUAUAGCCCUUUUUCCCACUCCAUUUGUCCACUGAAAAGCUCUGCAAUUAAUAUUGAAUAUGCAUGACAUCAAUUAUAAUUAAAUACAUGAAUAAAAAUUAAUCACAAUAAGUUAAUAACAAAAACGAAGGCAUAUAGUUAAUAUGACGUUACCAUCUUCCCCUAAUCGAUGAGGACCGGGUUGUCACAUAGAGAGAGAGAGAAAAAGCUCCUUCUUGGAUUUCCAACUGGAAGAAGAAGAAGAGCAAGUCGGGACUGGGAGGGAGGAGGGAGACUGAGGUUGUACGGAGCACUUGCCGAGGAUCGUGUAGACAUCAGGCGGAAGGAACCUGUCCCAAACGGCGUCCAAAUCAGCGGCCGACCGGAAACCCCUAGACACCGCUGAAAGCCUGCACGCGUCAGGAGGCGUCGUUAAGGAGGCCACGGUGGCUUUGCAUCCUUCUGGCAACGCCACCAGAUCCAUCGCCGGCGUUCCUGUAGUUUGUCUUUGUAUAUUGUAUUGCGUUUUGGUGUUUGUAAACUUGUGUAAUAUUGUUUGGGCACAAAUUUACACCAUCAAAGUGAGCAUAACUUUCAACUGUUGGAUAGAAAAGUAAAGAUAGUUUUGUUGUUGUUAAAAGAUAAUAUUAUGGUUUUUAUCAUAAUAAUUAUCUUUUAACUAUCUUGACAAAUGCGAAUUAUAUCUCUAAGCAAGGGGUACAGUUCAAAUUAAGUUGGGAUGUGUGUGGACGUGUGGAGUAGUCAAAGUAAAGUGAUGUGAUGGGAUCAAGGUGCCAGCCAUGAUUUUUUAUGCAUGCAUGUGAUGAUUUCAUUAAAUGCCGUGCAAAAGUUGGAAAUGGUUUGGAUGGAUAAAGAUGGCAUGAAAAAGGGUUUAUUUUGAUGGUCUCGACGUGGAAAGCAAAUGACCACCAAAUGGCAUGUAUCCUUGGAUUUUGGCAGGUUUUUUACCGAGUCUUGUGGAAGUGAAUGGCUAGGCUUGCAUGUUAAUUAUCAGCAUGCUUUGGUUCCAGAGCCGUGGAGGUCAUUAUGCAUGUUAAUUAUUUGCAUAAAAUAAGGAGAUAAUGAUAACAUCUAAAAGAAAGGCUGUUGCUUACCUUGAGAAGUGUUUGACUGGGACUCUGGUUGAUGAGUGUGAAUUGAAAUCAAAUCCUACACUAGUGUGAAGCCGCACCACACAUUUGCGUCUAUAAAUACAAGGUUGCGAACACCAUUGAAGCCCCUCUAAUUCAACACACAAUUGCCCUGUGCAAACUUUCUCAACAACCUUGAGAUUUUUACUUUUUCCUUUUCGCCGACACAUCUUUCGUUGGUAUCAAUAGCACUGUGAAGGCAACCAGUGAUAUCCUCAGUCGACAUAAGAUAGCUCUGUCACCGUAGAAUCAGCUAAUCUCGCAGCAUCUUCCGUUGGUAUCAACAGCACUGCGGCGAGGACAGUUGGUUACCUAUCCAAGUCUCGGUCGAGAAGGAUUUCCGAAUCCUUGUUGGUCGAGGUCAUCUCAUUAGCCUUCUCAGCGAAGUGAGGUGUUACAGUUUACCGAGCUCGGCGCAUUGCACGCCGAGUUAUUUUAUGAUUGGAUACUCUCAAGUGGGAUUUAGAGUUCGGCAUUCUGACAGUCGAACCACGUUCACCAUUAAGACUUAUAUCCACUUUGAGUAUUUGUGCCCUUACACUUUGGUGUCGAUUCGGCGUGGGUUUACUCUGACAAAUACCAUCACUGUGACCGAGUUCGACGACGACGAUUCGUGAACUUCAUGAGAAUAGCAACCUUGUCUUCAGGCUGCAUAAGUCAGUAGCGCGACCCAAUGCAACAUUAGCAAAUUUUACUUCUCGGCCGAGCUCGGCCGACGAGUUGGCACGCCCCGCACACAACCGAAUGACGUAGUUAGCUCAUAGAUUACUCGGCCUGCGCGCCACGUACGUAGGCUUGGUAGUUUUUAGGGUCAACAAAUAUAUGCAUGGAUUUCCUAGAUGAAGUCUUAGGGGUUAAGUUUAGGGUUGUUUUAUAACGCAUCAAGGUAUAUGGUAUGCACCAGGUUUAUAGAAACGUUAAAUUCGUUGGGUUCUUGGACCAAAUACAAAAAGAAAAGAUCUUGACCUAUUCUCUGGGGAUGCAUAAAAAUAUAGAAUGGUUUUAAAUUUUGAGUAUCAGCCUAAUUAUUUCUCUUAGAUUAGUAAUACAUUAUUCAGCCUAUAUUCAAUGCACAUAUAAAAGGUUAUUUUUUCGAAAGACCUAUUUGUCGAUUUAUCCUCCGAACUUGUAUACACCUACCAAUUUCCCUUAUGAAUUUUAAUUUAGCUGAUUAUACCUGAACUUUUAUAAAUAGAUUUUGAAAAUUUUCAACUAAUCUUCCAUUCAUCUUGAUCACGCGAACAUCACAUGGCAAAUAUAUGAUGGGGAAAGGAUAAUUUUGUUUUGGUAAAUUGGGCACAAAGUUAGUACUUUGCCGUUGCAAAUUAGAUUCCUAUGGCUAAUUCAAACAUAAAGUAUACGGAGUCAACUAGCAAAAGAGAACAUUAGGGUAAUAUUACUUGAUUACCCUUAAACAUUUUUCAUCAGACUAAAAUGGGUAGGAAAUUGAAUGAAUUUUUUAAAAUCUAAUGUCAGAAAGGAAAUUGACUAAUUAUAAAAGUUUAGAAGGGUAAUCAACUAAAAUUAAAAUUUAGAGAGAAAAUUAGCAACUGCUUAAAGUUCUAGGAGAAAAUCGACAGAUAACUCUUUUCAAAAAAAGAGAAAAGGUUAUUGGGUUUCCUUUUUCCUUUUCAUUUCAAAUUUUUUACUUUAAUAAAUCAUCAGUACUAUCUAGUAUCUAGUAUAUAUUCUUUUAAGUUAGAAAUCUCAAAUUCAACUUAUCUUGUUAACAAAUUUAAUGUAAUAACACCGACGGUGAUAGACCCACGUUAGGAUAAAAAGUGGCCAUUCCCUCCCCUCCAAGGGCCCAUGCAAUAUUUCUAGCCAAAUACCUCCAUUACCCACCACCCCCCACAAAAAAGGGAAAGAAAAAAGAAGAAAAGAAAUCAGUCUAAUUGGUUCCAAAUCGAGCACUUAAACUCGGUUUGAUUUGCGACGCCACGCCAGAUGACCUUGUGCACCAUGAACUUGGCCUAGAAGAGAAUGCACGUAUUCUUAGGUGAAAAAACUAUACGUGUGAUAACACAUCUCCCAAUCUCUCCAUUCAUCAAAUAAGUUUAUAACGUUUUACAACAAGUAUUCAAAGGUGAAGGGAAUCAUUAAAUAAUUAUUCAAGAGGACUGUAAUCACCGUUGAUGAUCAGGGUUCAACCCAUGUCAAAGUUAAAGAAUCAAAAGGGUGCGGUUGUCGCGGUGUGACCAGAGAAAUUGGUGUCCGGUAAGAGACAGAGAAGCAAGACUACACUUUGGCAAUCAAGUACAAGAGCUCCGAGGAAGAAGCCAUCUCAUUUGGUGCAAUUGUUUGGGAAGAAGAGAGUGAAAAUUUUACUAUGAGGAGCCCUAUUGUGAUCUCGGGUAGCCCUAUUGUGAUCGUUGUGUAAGAACACGUUAGCUGGCAUUUCGGGAAGUUUGGUACGACUUCAAUUCAAUCCAUGUAGUUCAAAGAUGAGCAAUUGCAACCAUUUUAUCAACAAAAUUAUAAUACAAUGAGCCUUUUUGUUUCUCUUACUAGUAAUUUUCCUAAUAUGUAACAUCGACAAUGCACCUAUUACAUGUAAGUCCUUAGAAAAAGUUCAACUUUCUACACUCUUUUGGGCCUGACUUCAAUCCCUUGAACAAUAAGGCCUCUCUUCAUUCUAUGAAUGUCAAAAUCCCUACAUGUCAUCUCCAUUAACCCCCCAUUUUCUUCUCCUGGACAGAAGAACUCUCCAAUCUCCACCUCCAGCCAGCCGUCAGGCCUUUUCUUUCGGCUCCUUUCUUGGCCCAGAAACACAGUGCGCUUACUACUAGUCUCUUCUUUCCCAAAAAGUCCUAUCUUGACCUCCGAGGGAUCGUCACGAUCAAAUCCUCUAGCCCUUUCACUUAACAUGAACACAAGAUAAGCUUUGUAGACAGUGGAGGGGGAAAGAAUCCGUGUAUCAAUUUUGCCACGGAUGUCAAGCCACCAAACAACUACAAGCGCAGCCACCUCCUCAAACCUGUUUCAUUUAACAUGACACAUACUAAUUAAUUGCCUAAUUACACACAUACACACAUAUUUCAAUCUAUAUAUAUACAUCGCUAAAACAAAUCCAACCGCAGAAUAAGCACGAUAUGGAAAUGCAUUCUCAACAUCUUAAAAGCGUAGCUGUUAGCUUAAUCAAACCAACAAAACGUAAGAUGAAUGAAGAAGUUUACAGACCUGGAGUUGGCAAGAGAAAUCCAUUUCCAGUACUCAGGAUUAUCACCCCAAAUAAUAAUAAGGUCCUUCGGCGAUAUCAUGUAACAUUUUUUCCCACUCCAUUUGUCCAGAGUAAAACUCUGCAUAUAUAGAACAUGGAAACUGAUUGAGAAAGGUUACAAAAACUUAUUCUGGCUAGUUUUUCAUGCAUUAGUUCCAGCAGGCACCAUCUCAAAGUCGAAAGUCAUAUUUUCAUAUUAAUAUAUGAUGCUGUAUUCAAUUGAGAAUUUGAGAGACUUUAAAUUGAUUUUUAUAGAGUUUAAUUGAUUUAUAGAGAUUUCAUAGAAAAUUUUGAUUCAAUUUCCUCGAAAUCUCAUGGAGAGAGAUUAGAUUUGUGGAUGCUUAUAAUAUACUACAAAAUCUCUCCAAUUCCCUUUAAUUCCUCAAAUUUCUCAAAUUAUUUAAUAUCAAUUUCUAAUUGAAUACAAUGUUAUAAACUUUUUUAAAAUCAUAAUUGAAUACACUCAGAUUUAUAAAGAUUUUAAUAAAUUAUCUUAAAAUUCUAAUUGAAUACCCUUGAAUUAAAAUACUGAUUGAUUACCUAGAUUCAUUAAAAGAAUUAAAAUCCCUCAAACUCUGAAUUGAAUACACGCCCCAAAACUUUAUCAGAAAGUAGAGAGAAACAAAUAAAAUCUUCAAAUAUAUUCAUGUUUCAAAUUUUGGGAGCUAUCCCUAAUCCCACCACAAAAGCGAAAAAGAAUGUAUAAAAUUACCAUUUUUCCGUCGUCAACGAGGACAGGGUUUUCGCAGAGAGUGAGGUAAAGCUUCUUCUUGGAGGAGGAGAAGGUGGAGGAGGAGGAGGAGGAGUGAGAUAGGAUGGAGGGGAUAUCAGGGGGAAGGAACUUGUCCCAAACAGCGUCGGAAUCAGCAGCCGACAUGAAACUCUUAGACACCGCCGAAAACCUGCACGCGUCUCGAGGCGUCGUUAAGGAGACGACGUUAGCUAUGCAUCCUUCGGGCAACUCUUGCAGAUCCAUGUGAACGUGAUGGUGAUCGUCAUCGAGUACCAUCGACACCGGCGUCCCGCAGCCCCCGCUG
rnacentral:lncRNA from 1 species